AUAUAAAAUAACACUCGAGCAACGGUUCUUUAAACAAAAAAAAUACAUUUUCAAAAAAUACAACAACUUAAAUCUAUGACCCACCCAUAGGACGGAAUAGAAGAAAUGGCACCUGCUUUGAAAGAUGAACAAAAAGAAAAAAAGGAACUGCAAAGUUUUAAAAAACAAAGUAGAUUCCAGAAUCAAAUGAACAAAUUGAAGGUUAUACGAUAGCAACGAUACGAUACGAUAGCAAAAAAUUAAAAAAGAUUUAAUGUACGUUCAAAGUUUCGGGCAUUCGUAAAACAUUAGUGCUCUUAAGAUGCGGUAGUGUACCAAAGACGCCGUUUGUGAUGCUUUUGGAAAAAGGAUCUAUUCCAUCUUCAAGCUCAAAAUAAUCCGAAAAAGUGUGCAUUAUUUUUUAAUGUUCUUUAAUGUUCUUCCUUUUGUAACGGAAAAAUUUGUUAUAAAAAAAGUUGCUUUCCGUGUUUUACGCUUAUAAUAUAAUAAAUAUAUAUUAUAUAUAUA